rnacentral:ncRNA from 1 species
UUAUUUAAUAUGUAAAUAUUACAUUAAAAAUUUAUUUGCAGUUUUUAGUUUUAAAACAUUAUUUAAGUAAGUUUUAGUAAUUAAUUAUAGAUUUAAUAAAAUUUGUGCCAGCAAUUGCGGUUAUACAAAUAAUUCAAUUGAAAUUUAUUGGUUAAUAAUUAAUUUGUUUUAAUUAAUUUAUUAUUAAAAUUUUUAAGUGAAAUUUAAAUUUUAAUAUAAUUUUUUUGUUUAUAUUUGAAGUUAUUAAAAUUAAUAUUAAACUAGGAUUAGAUACCCUAUUAUUAUAAUUGUAAAGUUUAAAUACCAGAUUAGUAUUAGUUGUUUUCUUAAAAAUUAAAGGAUUUGGCGGUAUUUUAGUCUAUUCAGAGGAACCUGUCCUGUAAUCGAUAAUCCACGAUUAGAAUAACUUUUCUUUUUCUUGUAUAUCGUUGUUUUUGAAUAUUUUAUAAGAAUUUAAAUUUUCAAUAAGUAUAUUUUAGUUAAUUUCAGAUCAAGGUGCAGUUUAUAGGAAAGAAGAUGAUGGGUUACAUUAAAUUUAUUUUUGGUUUAAUAUUUUGAAUAAUAUUAUUAAAUUGGAUUUGAUAGUAAUAUUUUAUAUAUUUAUUAUAUGAUUUUAGCUCUAAAAUGUGUACAUAUUGCCCGUCGCUCUCAUUUAUUUGAGAUAAGUCGUAACAAAGUAGAUUUACUGGAAAGUGAAUCUAGUAUU